rnacentral:rRNA from 1 species
ACGAACGCUGGCGGCGUGCUUAACACCUGCAAGUCGAACGGAAAGGCCCUGCUUUUGUGGGGUGCUCGCGUGGCGAACGGGUGAGUAACACGUGAGUAACCUGCCCUUGACUUUGGGAUAACUUCAGGAAACUGGGGCUAAUACCGGAUAGGAGCUCCUGCUGCAUGGUGGGGGUUGGAAAGUUUCGGCGGUUGGGGAUGGACUCGCGGCUUAUCAGCUUGUUGGUGGGGUAGUGGCUUACCAAGGCUUUGACGGGUAGCCGGCCUGAGAGGGUGACCGGCCACAUUGGGACUGAGAUACGGCCCAGACUCCUACGGGAGGCAGCAGUGGGGAAUAUUGCACAAUGGGCGGAAGCCUGAUGCAGCAACGCCGCGUGCGGGAUGACGGCCUUCGGGUUGUAAACCGCUUUCGCCUGCGACGAAGCGUGAGUGACGGUAAUGGGUAAAGAAGCACCGGCUAACUACGUG